UGGAAACAGCUGAUCUAUAUGCUACCAAGGUACAGAGCAAGGAAACUGAAGUGUGGUUUUUACCAAUAUUAUUAAAGAGAGAACAAGACUAAAUGGCUUUUUAGGUUUCUCUGUGGCCAAGCAAGAGAUACCUCACAGCUUCAAUAUCAGCCAUGAAGCAUUAGGGAUAAGGGAUCUUCACUCUUCAUGAAAUUGCUCCUGUCACUAGCAAAAUCCUUAAUGGAACACUCUCAAUAGUAGCAAUUGGUGGGAUAGUCAGAAGAGGCUUUUCAACAUUUAGGAAGGUGGCACGUACCACCUCCUACUAACCUGGGAUAAAGAUGGUAGCUAACUUUUCUUCCUUUAUAAGUUAGUGAUAUUAUAAGAGCAGUAGACACCUAUCUGCCAUGGAUGGCCUAGCCCUAUUUUAAAGGAUCCAGAUCAAUAAGUGUCGAAACUGUAAGAAGUAACUUUCCUAUGUACAUCUAAAAUAAAAUAUAAUUUAAAUAUGCAAAAUCUGUUAGUGAGGAUUGCAAACUUUUAAUUCUUUUUGAGGAUAACUUUACAGGAGUAACCUUGUAGGAUAGAGGUUAACAUAGGCUUUGGAAACAGAUAAACCUGAGCCUACUCACCAGCUGUGUGACUUUGAGCAAGUUAUUGAACCUCUCAAAGUCUCAAUUUUCUCAUCUGUAAAAUUAAGAUAAUAGAACGUAUCUCAUAAGAGUUGUUAUGAAGAUUAAGUGGAUAAUGCAUGUAAGAUGUUUAUCCCAGUCUCUAGCUAAAAGUAAGCAUUCAGUAAAUGCUGGCCACAACUACUGUUAUUAGUUUAGUAUUGUUACAAUGUAUGGUUUUUUGACUUAGCCUGAACAGUGAUUCAUAGAGGGAAGAAUACUUGUGUUGAAUAUAAAUUUAUAUUUUGCUGAAAACUAUGUUUUGUGUUUGUUUUCCCCCAGGAGAGAAUAGAAUACUCCAAAACCUUCAAGGGGAAAUAUUUUAAUUUUCUUGGUUACUUUUUCUCUAUUUACUGUGUUUGGAAAAUUUUCAUGGCUACCAUCAAUAUUGUUUUUGAUCGAGUUGGGAAAACGGAUCCUGUCACAAGAGGCAUUGAGAUCACUGUGAAUUAUCUGGGAAUCCAAUUUGAUUUCUUUUAUGCCAUCUCUAGCAGUAAGUCCUCCAAUGUCAUUGUCCUGCUAUUAGCACAGAUAAUGGGCAUGUACUUUGUCUCCUCUGUACUGCUGAUCCGAAUGAGUAUGCCUUUAGAAUACCGCACCAUAAUCACUGAAGUCCUUGGAGAACUGCAGUUCAACUUCUAUCACCGUUGGUUUGAUGUGAUCUUCCUGGUCAGCGCUCUCUCUAGCAUACUCUUCCUCUAUUUGGCUCACAAACAGGCACCAGAGAAGCAAAUGGCACCUUGAACUUAAGCCUACUACAGACUGUUAGAGGCCAGUGGUUUCAAAAUUUAGAUAUAAGGGGGGAAAAAUGGAACCAGGGCCUGACAUUUUAUAAACAAACAAAAUGCUGUGGUAGCAUUUUUCACCUCAUAGCAUACUCCUUCCCCCUCAGGUGAUACUAUGACCACGAGCAGCAUCAGCCAGAACAUGAGAGGGAGAACUAACUCAAGACAAUACUCAGCAGAGAGCAUCCUGUGUGGAUUUGAGGCUGGUGUAGAGGCGGAGAGGAGCCAAGAAACUAAAGGGGAAAAAUACACUGGAACUCUGGGACAAGAGAUGUCUGUGGUAGCUGAGCCGAACACAUAGGAUUUCCGUUUUAAGGUUCACAUGGAAAAGGUUAUAGCUUUGCCUUGAGAUUGACUCAUUAAAAUCAGAGACUGUAAC
rnacentral:sRNA from 1 species